rnacentral:sRNA from 1 species
UACUCAAAAUUAAACUUGAUCUGUUCUACAUUUAUUGAGAUUGUAAUUUUGGUCAAUACAGACUAUUUUACACCGUAAGAAAAUUAUGAAUAUAUGAUGUAUUGGAUUUCAUUAUCAUCAUUUUAUCAUUUGCAGGCAUAUUUCUUGAAUAACCGAAAUUUGUUUUGAUAAAAUGUUUCUAUUUAUGGAUGUGAUAUGAGUAUAUUGUUUUAUCAGUGAAUUAAAUUUAUGGAAAGAAUGCAUAUUAAUUUUGAUUUAAGAAUGAGUAUUGUUUCAAAUAUCUCUGAAAGAUGUAAAACAUAUCCCUUUAAGAUUUAUUAUGUAAAGAUUCACCAAAGCAUCUCAAGAUUUGAGACGAUUUUUUCCUGUUGUUGACAUAAAUGUAUAGUUUACCAUGACAAUCAGGUCAUCUGAUGUAUUGAUUUUGUGAAUCGUUUUUUUAUUAGAAGAAAUUAAGACUGAAGGAAAUUGAAUAAAGAAUUUGAAGAUC